rnacentral:rRNA from 1 species
GACGAACGCUGGCGGCGUGCUUAACACAUGCAAGUCACGGGGGCUCGGCAACGAGCAACCGGCGAACGGGUGCGUAACACGUGAGCAACCUGCCUUUGUGUGGGGGAGUAGCCGGGCUAACGCCCGGGUAAUACCGCAUACGGUUCUCGAGGGGAGUCCCUUGGGAAAGAAACCUCCGGGCGACAGAGAGGGGCUCGCGGCCUAUCAGCUUGUUGGCGGGGUAAUGGCCCACCAAGGCGACGACGGGUAGCGGUCUGAGAGGAU